rnacentral:rRNA from 1 species
UACGAAGGGGGGCUAGCGUUGCUCGGAAUUACUGGGCGUAAAGCGCACGUAGGCGGUCUUUUUAAGUCGGGGGGUGAAAGCCCGGGGCUCAACCUCGGAAUUGCCUUCGAUACUGGACAUCUUGAGUACGGGAGAGGUGAGUGGAACUCCGAGUGUAGAGGUGAAAUUCGUAGAUAUUCGGAAGAACACCAGUGGCGAAGGCGACUCACUGGCCCGUUACUGACGCUGAGGCGCGAAAGCGUGGGGAGCAAACAGG